UGCAUCGGACGGGAAUCGAACCCUGGCCGCCCGCGUGGCAGGCGAGCAUUCUACCACUGAACCACCGAUGC
rnacentral:tRNA from 1 species